ensembl:lncRNA
GGAGGAGAGGGCAAAGCCCGCCCACUACACCCACAGGAGAAAAGCCUGUGAUCGUGGAAGCACUUCCGGUGACCCCAGAGAUGGCGUCACGUGCACGCAGGCCGACCACGACAUUUUGUAAUUACAAAAUGGAUGGAGGUCUGACACCUGAGCUUCGAGGGACUUCACAAAGGCAGAGCAGUAGAAGAGGUCAGCAAGCACCCCAGAGCUGUAUCCGGCCCAGUCCAGCUUCUCCCUCCUUGCUGAGCCAGUGAGGAUUCCAGGCCUGAGGAGGCGCAGACAAUCACCGAGCAUCGCCGUCACCUGGGUCUGUGUGGGCCUCGCUGCCCAGGCGAUUGCAGAGCGGCCUCACCUGAUCACACACGAGCCCCAGCUCUCCUAACACAGAACCUGCUUGCUGACUCAGAACAAUGAGCUCUGUGAGACCCAUGUCCUAUUUGGCAAGGUGUGUAUGCAUGCUCAUUCCUGUAGGAUUCUUUGGGACUCCAUGGACUGUAGCCUGCCCGGCUCCUCUGUCCAUGGGUUUUCCCCUGGCAAGAAUACUGGAGUGGGUUGCCAUUUCCUUCUCAGGGGAUCUUCCUUCCCAACCCAGGGAUUGAACCUGCAUCUCCUGCAUUGGCAGGCAGAUUCUUUACCCCUGAGCCACCUGUGAAGCCCUCUUAUUUGGCAACCUCCAGGCUUAAAUAAACCUGCGGAGACCCUCCUAGGCUUCCACUGCAGCUUUCUCCAGUUUUUCUCAAAACCCUUCCCCUUGGGCAGUUCAUUUCCCCCUGGUCUCCUGAGUGGCCCCUGGAGCUAGGCUUCAUUGGGAAUGAACAAUGCAGCCAUCAACAUCUUGGGCCAACUACAAACCCAAAAUGCGUCUGGUGUGCUGCGAACGUGAAGGUGGCCGAGAGGCCGGAGAAAGAGCAGAAUUUCCAGCAGCUGCUACAGAAAUAGCACAGCCAAUUAAGAUGCCAGCUGCACAGAGGCAGCAAUACAAUCUGGAGCAUUAAUAACUCUGGACUGUGCAUUUUUAGGAAAACAGAUUUGCCUUUUACCUGCAGGUUUGGUGAUAAAGAUUUAGAGCAGGGCCAGCCAACUGGCAUCCCAUUAAGUCCCUCCCCGCCCUGUGUGUUGUAACCGGAUCCUCCCCAACUACACUUGCUUGGCUCUGGCCUCCUGAGUACCUUUUGGUUCACGUGCUUGUACAGCUGGUCUUCUUGAGUUGCGGUCAAAGAGCUUAACCAAAAUAGUUCUCAGGAGAAGAAUAAGAUUUAAUAAGGAGAGAAAACUAAAGGAAAAAUCGCAUCCAUGGAAAUAGCUACAUGGUGUGUGAAUACAGACACUAUUUCAGUGACUAGGAACAGAGUUCCAUAAAGUGAACGUCGAUACCUCACAUUUUACGUGGUUGUGGCUGAAUAGAUUUCCAGGGCUCUGGCAUCCUCUGGCAGGGGAGGAAAACCAACCUUACGUCCAGGACCGAACGUGAGCAUGGUGAAUGAAGCCCUGUUUCAUAUCAGAGCCCAAAAGCAUUUCCAGUUCAAUCCAAGCCCUCAUUGGUGAGAGAGUAAACAAAACAUUUGUUUGUUCUCAAACUCCUGCCUGCCCGAUUUUGUCCAUCUCAGUCAAUGGCAGCAUCAGCCACCAAAGUGGAUUUAAGUUGCUGAAAAUACAAACCUAGAUUUUUCCCUUGAUUCUUCCUUUUUCAAAGUCUUCAGUAAGUCCUGGUCAUGUUAUUCCCAAGAAAUGUUUUUAGUUGCCUUACUCUUUUUUUAUGUCCACGGGCUUCACGCUGGUCCAGGCUGACAUUAUCUCUGCCUCUUCCCUAGACAAUCACAGGGCUCCUGAUAC